rnacentral:SRP_RNA from 1 species
GCCGGGCAUGGUGGCGCAUGCCUGUAAUCCCGGCUACUCAGGAGGCUGAGGCAGGAGAAUCGCUUGAACCCGGGAGGCAGAGGUUGCAGUGAGCCAAGAUCGCGCCACUGCACUCUGGCCUGGGCGACAGAGCGAAAUUCCGUCUCAA